GGCCCCGUCGUCUAGCGGCCCAGGACGCCGCCCUCUCAAGGCGGAAGCGGCGGUUCGAAUCCGCUCGGGGCUG
rnacentral:tRNA from 1 species